rnacentral:snRNA from 1 species
AUCGCUUCUCAGCCUUUUGGCUAAGAUCAAGCGUAGUAUCUGUUCUUAUCAGUUCUAUGAUUCUGUGAAAGAGAACCAUCAGUCAAAACGAAGAAAAUGAGAUAUUUUAAAACAGAGUUGAACUUCCU